CCUACGGGUGGCAGCAGUGAGGAAUAUUGGUCAAUGGGCGUAAGCCUGAACCAGCCAAGUCGCGUGAGGGAUGAAGGUUCUCUGGAUCGUAAACCUCUUUUGUAGGGGAGUAAAAUGUGGGACGUUUCCUUUUUUGUAUGUGCCUUAUGAAUAAGGAUCAGCUGACUCCGUGCCAGCAGCCGCGGUAAUACGGGGGAUCCGAGCGUUAUCCGGAUUUGUUGGGUUUAAAGGGUGCGUAGGCGGGCUUGUAAGUCCGUGGUGAAAGUCGGUGGCUCAACCAUAGAAUUGCCGUUGAAACUGGGAGGCUGGAGGAUGGUUGAGGCAGGCGGAAUGCGUGGUGUAGCGGUGAAAUGCUUAGAUAUCACGAAGAACCCCGAUUGCGAAGGCAGCCUGCCAAGCCAUGACUGACGUUGAUGCACGAAAGCGUGGGGAUCAAACAGGAUUAGAUACCCUUGUAGUC
rnacentral:rRNA from 1 species